UUGAAAAAUUUUGGGGAAUUACUGUUGCUGGCCUUUUUCUAAUGGGAAGGGUAUGUGCACGUAUUCUCUAAUCUAUUCAUCCACCUGUGCACUUUUUGUAGAAGUACUCUUGAGUUGAUUGGUAGAGGGUCUUUGGCUCUCUACUGUUGAUUUAAAGGGCUUCUAUGUUCUUACAAACAAGUUAAGCAUGUUAUAGAAUGUUAUUUUACUGGGACUUGAUUGACCCUUUAAAACUUUAUA
rnacentral:misc_RNA from 1 species